AAAAAAAAAAAAAAAAGCCCAUCAUGCUGGCCAGGGCCCAGGAACUGGGCUCUGGAAGCGAGUCCUGCUUCUUGUCGUGAGCAGCCCCAGUGAGAAGAGGAGCCAGAGGCCCAGCGGGGUGGGGGCCCCAGCGUAGCUCCUGGGGUCUGGGUUUUACUGGCUGCCCCCAGCCCCUGGCAGAAGCCAGGCUGUGAGGUGUGGUUGUCACCCCUCUGACACAGCCUCUCCAGGGACGGUCUUCCAGCCUGGGGCCAAGGAGUGUGUGGAUGUGGGAACUGCAGGGGGUUGUGGCACCCUCACAGACCCUUCCAGACCAGGGGCCUGGUCACACGCUGAGCCCUUUGUUCUGUCUUCAGGGUCUGCACAGUGCCCUCUGCUGGGCUCAUGAGGGAGUGUAGGUGGCCCCAGCCUAGAGGCUUGAAGGAGCUGGAAGGUUCCUGAUCAGCCAGGACUCAGGGAUCUGCUGUGCUUGGCCUGGGUGAACCCUGACCCUGGUCCCACGCUGAGCCUGGCCCUGGUCGCACGCUGAGCCUGGCCCUGGUCCCACGCUGAGCCCUGGCCCUGGUCCUGGUCCCACGCUGAGCCCUGACCCUGGUCCCACUCUGAGCCCUGGUCCUGGUCACACGCUGAGCCCUGGCCCUGGUCCCACUCUGAGCCCUGACCCUGGUCCCACGCUGAGCCCUGACCCUGGUCCCACACUGAGCCCUGGCCCUGGCCCUGGUCCCACGCUGAGCCCUGACCCUGGUCCCACACUGAGCCCUGGCCCUGGUCCUGGUCCCACGCUGAGCCCUCAGCCUGGCCCCCAUGUUCCCUUAGCUCAUAAGGAGGGCAAAACCAGGGAGCCUGGAGCCCUGUGUAGGUUUCACUCCUCUCCUGGGGGAAGGCAAGAGCCUUUGCUGACCUCCUCCCUCCUCCCCCACAUGUGACUCAGUGCUCUCUGUGGUCACAACACUCCCCCUCCUCCGCCUCCGCCCCAACUCCAGGUGCAGUGCGGUUCCAGGCCCUGGGUGACAGUGUCCCGGGGGUGGAGAGUGACUGUGAAGCUGACUCACUGCACGGCGGGGGAGGUGUGAGCGUCAGAGCUGGGCUCGCCCAAACGCAGACCCCAGCUGGUCCAGGCGGCUCCUGCGGGAGCAUUAGGGCUGCGCCAGGCCCUGGUCAUCGGGUGGGCAGGCGCACACAGGGCCCAGAGCCGAGACCCUUCCAGCCAGCCCCAUUCGCAGAGACCAUGGGGCUUGGGGGCCCAGCAGCCAGCUGCCCUGCCUCUGCCCCUCCCUCUCCAGGGACCUGGGCUCUGGCCCCUCCCAGUCACGAACUGGGGCCAGUGGCCUCUGGCUGCAGAAGUCAGGCUGUAGGCUUUGCGGUGGGGAGGGCCCCAGAGAGCCCGCCGGGGGCAUCCUGCAGGGGCGGGGAACCUCCUUCUCUGUCCAGCCUGGCCCUGUGCUCACUCAGACACAGGUCCCACCUCCACAGGCCCGCAGACAGACACCGGUGGAGCCCAGGGGCUGGGAGGCACAGGCUGAGAGAGCUUCCCAGGGGGACAGUGGGAGGCCAGAAGAGGCCUGUGAGAGCAAAAGGCCAGUGUCCUGGAGGGGGUGGGACCUUCCUGUUGGGGGCCCCUCUGCCAGGCUGUGGUGUCCCGACUGCAGUGGGGAACCUCUGAAGGUGGGGAUUGGGGGACAGGGGUGUGAAGAGUGAGGGGCUGGGGAGCGGGUGAUGGGCAGGCCCUGCGCCCUUGUUCCCCAAGGCUUCGGUGUGAGCUCAGGCCUCCAGACACCGAGACACUGCCCACCACGAGAGUGGGCGGGGCCUCAUUGCAGUGGAGAAGAUGGACACCAGCUUUUAUGUCUGGACCUGGCAUGAGCGGGGGCCUGUGCCCGGCCUUCCCGCAUCCCUGCAGUUCCCCAACAAGGCCUGGAGGUGGCCCUGCUCCCCACUUCCAUAUCAGGACCCCACGGAGCAAGGGUGAGGUGGCCCUGGGUCCAGGUCCCGACCCUGUAUCCUCCAGGCUCGCUCUCCAUCUCUCCGCCACAAGCAGCGUACCCACAGCCUGGCCAACAGCUAUGGGAGGCUGAGGCCCCACUGGCAGCAGACGGAGAAACGCAACAGGAGGGCGAGAGAGGGUGGGGGGUAGGGGGCAGCCGGAAGAGGGGUCUAAGGAGGGAUCUGUUAGCUUAGGAAGCAGCUUGGGCCCCAGGAUGCUCCUCUGAGAAGGGGGCUCAGCUGCGGUUUCCAGCGAGUGGGCAUCUGUUCCCUCAUUUUAUUAAUAAUGCAGAACAGUGAGGUCACUGGGCUCUCCGUGAGCCAGCCACUCCACUGACCGAUUCUUCCUAAUUGCGAAAAAGGAGUCUAGGUGUCCUCGGGAGGCUCUGCAGCGGAUUCCACGAGGCCUUGAGUUGCCGCCGUCCACUAGACGCGGGCGUCGGGGCUGCCCCGCCAUCCUAGAAGGGGGGCCCAGCCAGCAGGCGCGGUGACCUCGGCAUUGAGGCUCAGGCCUGGUGGUCCUGGGCCUCCAGAGAGAUACUGCUGGGCACCAGGCUGGCAAAGCAGCCUGGGCCGGGGGUGGGCAGCUGCUGCUACACCCCAGCUGGAGACCUGGAUGAGACCAUGGGGCGGCAGCUAAGGGUGAGAGCUUGCAGCGCCGGCUGGCCCGGUUCAGUGCCCGUCUCCUUGCCUCCCGCGGCCCUGCUGUCGCCUCCACCCCAAGCAGCACUGGUCCUCGUUCAGUGGUUUCUCACUGAGAGGACUGAAGGUCGGACGUCAGAACACAAAAUGGGUAUUUCCGCAAAUGCUUCGAAGUUCACCACCCACCUCAGCUCUGGUUCUCACAGGAAGGGACUUUCUUCUUUAGUGACAGAAAGGUCCUCCCAGCUUGUUUGCAAGAACGGGGGCUGGAAGCCACGCUCUGUUGAGGACAAGCACAGUGCUCCCCGCGCCCUGCCCCGGGUCCGUGCGCGGCCCACGCUGCAGUUGCAUCUGAUCUGUCCAACAAAGCGGAAUCUUCCAGACACUUGACGACAGGGCCUCAUCCGACCACUGGGUCACAGCUGUCAUCCCAUGAUUCAGACACCUCUUGGAGACCCUUCUGGGGGGCUGGAGAUGGGGCCACCUGGACAGACAGCCGCCCACUGCCCCCAGAGGGCAAAGUUGUCCUUAUAGGAAGCAACGGUCUGGAGUUGGAUGGUGAACUCCUUUUCUCCAAUUAGGAAGCCAAGAAAAGGCCCUGUGAGAACACUUCGAGAACACAGCCAUCUACUAGCCAAGAGAGCUCUCUCCAGAAACCUAAUGGGCUGCCACCCGUAUAUUGGACCUCCCAGACUCCAGAACUGUGAGAAAUAAAUGUCUGUUGUUUAAGCCA